UUCGGAUGCAGGCUGCAACUCGCCUGCAUGAAGCUGGAAUUGCUAGUAAUCGCGGAUCAGCAAGCCGCGGUGAAUACGUUCCCGGGCCUUGUACACACCGCCCGUCACACCAUGAGAGUCGGGAACACCCGAAGUCCGUAGUCUAACCGCAAGGGGGGCGCGGCCGAAGGUGGUCCGGUAAUUGGGGUGAAGUCGUAACAAGGUAAC
rnacentral:rRNA from 1 species